UGUUUGUAAAUUAUGUAAAUGCAAACAGCCAACGGACGACUCAAGGUGCAGGAUUUUCUUGCUGUGUUGAUGACCAAUUGGUGGCCUUUUUUGUUUUUUAUCUGCUCAUUGAUCGGCUAGUUGUUUCUUUGAAAAUUGAUUUAACAAACAUUAAAGGGAUACAAAUAAACAGACCGAUUUUUAUCAGUAAAUCAUAAUCACUAGAAAAAAUAUUAACCUGAUACGGAAAUAUUGAUCUAAACCUUAUUUUACGUACAAGUAUACAAAAUAAUGUGUUGAGAUUGCCAAUGAGACAACUCUUCACAAGAGACCACAUACAUGUAACACAAAAAUCAACAAUUUUAGGACACCGUACGGCCCUCAGCAAUUAGCAAAGCCAAUACCGCAUAAUCAGCUAUAAAAGGCCCCGAUAUGACUAAUAUAAAAAAACACUAACGGCCUAAUGCAUGUACAAAAAUAAACAAACACAAAUAAAUGUGUAGCACAGCAAAAAAAAAAAACUGCCACAUAUAUACAAGCUCCUGACUCGAAACUUAAAAAAGAAAAAGAACGAUAAGAAAUGUAUAGCACAGAAACAAAGACAACCACUGAGUUGCAGACUCCUGACUUAGGACAGAUACACUAAAAACGUAAUACAAGUCGGAUAUAAUGUUUUAAGAGUUUAAGCUAUAUCACGGUAGAUAUAGUGUUUGGCUAGGAUCGUGGUUUUUCGAGUGAUUUGGUCCAUUUUUUUCAAGUGAAGAUCGGGC
rnacentral:lncRNA from 1 species